rnacentral:rRNA from 1 species
CUAGUUGGCGGGGUAACGGCCCACCAAGGCGAAGAUCGGUAUCCGGCCUGAGAGGGCGCACGGACACACUGGAACUGAAACACGGUCCAGACUCCUACGGGAGGCAGCAGUGGGGAAUUUUGCGCAAUGGGGGAAACCCUGACGCAGCAACGCCGCGUGGAGGAUGAAGCCCCUUGGGGCGUAAACUCCUUUCGACCAAGACGAUAAUGACGGUACUGGUGGAAGAAGCACCGGCUAACUCUGUGCCAGCAGCCGCGGUAAUACAGAGGGUGCAAGCGUUAAUCGGAGUUACUGGGCGUAAAGGGCGCGUAGGUGGUUGUAUAAGUGAGAUGUGAAAUCCCUGGGCUUAACCUAGGAACUGCAUCUUAUACUGUAUAGCUAGAGUACUGUAGAGGGUAGUGGAAUUUCCGGUGUAGCGGUGAAAUGCGUAGAGAUCGGAAGGAACACCAGUGGCGAAGGCGGCUACCUGGACAGAUACUGACACUGAGGCGCGAAAGCGUGGGGAGCAAACAGGAUUAGAUACCCUGGUAGUCCACGCUGUAAACGAUGAGAACUAGAUGUUGGUAGGCUUGACCUAUUAGUAUCGAAGCUAACGCGAUAAGUUCUCCGCCUGGGGAGUACGGCCGCAAGGUUAAAACUCAAAGGAAUUGACG